rnacentral:lncRNA from 1 species
AACAUGAUUAUUGUUCCUGAGAUGAUUGGAAGUAUCAUUGGGAUUUACAAUGGGAAGACAUUCAAUCAGAUUGAGGUCAAGCCUGAGAUGAUUGGCCACUAUCUGGCUGAGUUCUCAAUCUCAUACAAGCCUGUCAAGCAUGGAAGACCUGGUAUUGGUGCUACUCACUCAUCAAGGUUCAUUCCUCUGAAGUAAUAUGGAUGUUAGGUUAUCUUGUGCGCUGUCUGAUGAAGGUCUUGGAUUAUGUAAGAGUUAAGCUUGGAAUAACCCGGUAUUGGUGCUACUCACUCAUCAAGGUUCAUUCCUGUGAAGUAAUGUGGGAUGUUAGGUUAUCUUGUGCCGUCUUUUGCUAGAGUUUUGAUGAAGGUCGGGGAUUAUGAAAGAGUUUAAGUUUGGAAUAACUGUAGUCCGCU